rnacentral:rRNA from 1 species
UAGGGAAUCUUCCACAAUGGACGCAAGUCUGAUGGAGCAACGCCGCGUGAGUGAAGAAGGUUUUCGGAUCGUAAAGCUCUGUUGUUGGUGAAGAAGGAUAGAGGCAGUAACUGGUCUUUAUUUGACGGUAAUCAACCAGAAAGUCACGGCUAACUACGUGCCAGCAGCCGCGGUAAUACGUAGGUGGCAAGCGUUGUCCGGAUUUAUUGGGCGUAAAGCGAGCGCAGGCGGAAUGAUAAGUCUGAUGUGAAAGCCCACGGCUCAACCGUGGAACUGCAUCGGAAACUGUCAUUCUUGAGUGCAGAAGAGGAGAGUGGAAUUCCAUGUGUAGCGGUGGUAUGCGUAGAUAUAUGGAAGAACACCAGUGGCGAAGGCGGCUCUCUGGUCUGCAACUGACGCUGAGGCUCGAAAGCAUGGGUAGCGAACAGG